UACGUAGGGUGCAAGCGUUAAUCGGAAUUACUGGGCGUAAAGGGCUCGUAGGCGGCCAACUAAGUCCGACGUGAAAUCCCAAGGCUUAACCUUGGAACUGCGUCGGAUACUGGAUGGCUUGAAUUCGGGAGAGGGAUGCAGAAUUCCAGGUGUAGCGGUGAAAUGCGUAGAUAUCUGGAGGAAUACCGGUGGCGAAGGCGGCAUCCUGGACCGAGAUUGACGCUGAGGAGCGAAAGCUAGGGGAGCAAACGGG
rnacentral:rRNA from 1 species